GUGGGUGUAGUUCAGUUGGUAGAGCGUCAGGUUGUGAUCCUGAAUGUCGCGGGUUCGAGUCCCGUCACUCACCCCA
rnacentral:tRNA from 64 species